rnacentral:lncRNA from 1 species
CACUUGUAAUCAUCUCAGCCUGGUCACAAGAUUGUAUGGUAUACAAGUUAGCUGCAUUUAAAGCUAUGAUUAAUCGAGCAUUUACUCAUAUAAUGAAAUGGAAGGACAGGGAAAAUGAGUUGACAUAUAUCAUUCAACAAGGUCAGAAAUAUGGAUAUAGAAAGAAGAUAGUAGAGAGCCUUAUAAAGAAAAUUAGCGAACGUAAUGAAACUAAUAUGAAUACUGGAACUCCGCAUAGAAGAUUAGACAGGACAUCGUACUCCCAGGUCACAUAUUAUAGAUGUACAGAUAAAAUUCUUACAAGAAUGACAGAACACGCUAAU